CCCUUAGAUGUUCUGGGCUGCACGCGCGCUACACUGAUGCGCUCAACGAGUUUACGAACUUGCCCGGAAGGGUUGGUUAAUCUUUUUAAAACGCAUCGUGAUGGGGAUAGAUUAUUGCAAUUAUUAAUCUUCAACGAGGAAUCCCUAGUAAGUGCAGGUCAUCAGCUUGCGCUGAUUACGUCCCUGCCCUUUGUACACACCGCCCGUCGCUGCCCGGAACUGAGCCAUUUCGAGAAAAAUGGGGACAGACUGCUUGUGGGUGCGCAAGCACUUCUUGCAGAUUGAAACCAUCUUGAUCGGUAUGGCUUGAACCGGGCAAAAGUCGUAACA
rnacentral:rRNA from 1 species